rnacentral:tRNA from 1 species
GGGGAUUUAGCUUAGUGGUAGAGCGUUUGCCUAGGAAGCAUAAGGCCCUUCCCAAACCCCCA